AGCUGCGCAGUAGGCACAAACCGAAUUAUUCUUUCGCCUUUUACUAAAGAAUACCGUGUGCUUGUUGUAUUAAGUAGCAUACUCCAAUUUUUGGGGAGGUUCUUCUUUUCCAUUUU